CUGGCUCAGGAUGAACGCUAGCGACAGGCUAACACAUGCAAGUCGAGGGGCAGCAUAGAAGUAGCAAUACUUGGUGGCGACCGGCGCACGGGUGAGUAACGCGUAUGCAACCUACCUAUCAGAGGGGAAUAACCCGGCGAAAGUCGGACUAAUACCGCAUAAAACAGGGGCACCGCAUGGUGAUAUUUGUUAAAGAAAUUCGCUGAUAGAUGGGCAUGCGUUCCAUUAGGUAGUUGGUGAGGUAACGGCUCACCAAGCCGACGAUGGAUAGGGGAACUGAGAGGUUGGUCCCCCACACUGGUACUGAGACACGGACCAGACUCCUACGGGAGGCAGCAGUGAGGAAUAUUGGUCAAUGGGCGGGAGCCUGAACCAGCCAAGUCGCGUGAAGGAAGAAGGAUCUAUGGUUCGUAAACUUCUUUUGCAGGGGAAUAAAGUGCAGGACGUGUCCUGUUUUGUAUGUACCCUGAGAAUAAGGAUCGGCUAACUCCGUGCCAGCAGCUGC
rnacentral:rRNA from 1 species